rnacentral:tRNA from 1 species
GCGAGAGUGGUGAAACUGGUAUACACGCCAGAUUUAGGAUCUGGUGCCGCGAGGCGUAAGGGUUCGAGUCCCUUCUCUCGCA